GGAACAACCUAGCCAGGGAGUCAGCAGGCUCCUCGAUAGCAUUCAAGUGAUUGUUGGCCAGGACCAGGG
ensembl:miRNA